rnacentral:rRNA from 1 species
AGGACGAACGCUGGCGGCGCGCUUAACACAUGCAAGUCGAACGUGAAGCCCGGGCUUGCCCGGGUGGAAAGUGGCGAACGGGUGCGUAACACGUGAGCAACCUACCCCGAAGACCGGAAUAACCCAAGGAAACUCGGGCUAAUACCGGAUGCCCUCACCUCGUCGCAUGGCGAGAUGAGGAAAUGGAUUCCGCUUCGGGAUGGGCUCGCGGCCUAUCAGCUUGUUGGUGGGGUAACGGCCUACCAAGGCGACGACGGGUAGCUGGUCUGAGAGGAUGUCCAGCCACACUGGGACUGAGACACGGCCCAGACUCCUACGGGAGGCAGCAGUGGGGAAUCUUGCGCAAUGGGCGAAAGCCUGACGCAGCGACGCCGCGUGCGGGAUGACGGCCUUCGGGUUGUAAACCGCUUUCAGCAGGGACGAUUGUGACGGUACCUGCAGAAGAAGCCCGGCAACUACGUGCCAGCAGCCGC